UACGGAGGGGGCUAGCGUUGUUCGGAAUUACUGGGCGUAAAGCGCACGUAGGCGGAUGUUCAAGUCGGGGGUGAAAUCCCGGGGCUCAACCCCGGAACUGCCUUCGAUACUGGACGUCUGGAGGUCGGGAGAGGUGAGUGGAAUUCCUAGUGUAGAGGUGAAAUUCGUAGAUAUUAGGAAGAACACCAGUGGCGAAGGCGGCUCACUGGCCCGGUACUGACGCUCAGGUGCGAAAGCGUGGGGAGCAAACAGG
rnacentral:rRNA from 1 species